UGGAAAUAUGCAUAUCGAUCACUAGAGUUGACUUUUCCGAAGAACGACACUGGAAAUGUCCAUAAAUAGCUACACGACAAACAUUGUGAUGGAAACAGACAGAUUCAUCCAUUUUCUUACGGGAGCCUAAGUUGAAAUUUUAGUCCCACAUCUGAAGUUUUAUAAAUAGUAGCCCUCCUUGUAGUCUAUAAAUAAAGAAAGAUAUUUUCUCUCUCAUUGAAAACAUACCAAAAACUCUUUUUGAGUUAUAUUGUGGGUGCAUUUGGGGAUUAGGUUUGGUGGGUGAGAGAUUAUUAGUAGAAUUCUUCUCGUCUCCGUCGAACCAUUUCUGCGCGGUUUGGUUUAUUUAAUGUGAGUGGAGAUCAUUACCCAGAAAUUUUUGGUCUUCCAAAGUGUCUCGUUGCUUCGAUUACACACGAAAAACUUGGAGCAGAGAUUCCAACAACAACAACAACAACAACAGCAUCAUGAAAUGGAUAUGUUAUUAGAGCUGCAAAUGUUCACAUGAUGAGAUGCAUGGAUAUGUUAUUGAAAGAAGGUAUUCAGCCGACGCAUAUGACGGAUGGAUCGCAGCAGCACUCGUCUAUCAGACAGCAACAGCACAGAGCAGCGAGGCUGCACCGAAAUGAAAUUGAACAUCAGAAAGUUUAGAUGAAAGAUGUGUAUGGUAGAAAAGAAAGGAAGAAGGUGCUUACCAUCCUUCGAGAAAACCCGGCUCUCUUCUUGGUGGUGGAGCUGCAUACUGAGGUGGUGCCAUCACUGGCGGUCCCUGAUAAUAACCUUAUAUCCCAACCCAACAAUCAAAACACUAAGAAACUGGAACAGUAGAUGCAGAAAUCUGAUGGGAGUGUUACCUUACCUUGAGCAGGGUACGGGUAGGCAUACCUCGGGUCAUUCAUGGUGGCGGAAGGAAGUGAUCGUGAAAAGAAUGGAGUGAGUGGCUGCCACUGGAAGAGAUUGGGGAUGUUGGUGAGGGAGAUGGUAAUUUAUAGAGAGAGAGAGAAGCCGGGAAAAGAGUAUAAGAUUUCUUAAGGAAACGAAUUUAUUCCUCCGCGUAUGGAAAAGCAGAUGCUGUCGUGCUGUGGGCAAUGCCGGUCUCUCUACUUAUUCCCUCCCACUCUCUUUUCUUGGAAGAAUAGCCGGAGAAAAUAAAUGGAUUCGCUUUUAGGGGCCAUUUGUAGGUAGGCAUUCGAAAGAAUGGCGUGAAAUAGAACCCUAAUAUUUGGGAUUAAUUUUUUUUUAAUAGUAGAUAUUUUGAAUUAUUUGAGAUUUAUAUUGUUUUCCGAUUUAUUAGAACUAAGCAUAUAUUUUUGUUA